CCACUCAGUCCACUGAGCCACACCGGCCAGGGUGAGCAGUUCAUUUUCCUCAUCAUGAAUUUCUAUACGUAGCAUUUUCUAGCCUGAAUUCUGAAGUCAUUUAAAGAGGUGUUUGUUCUGCCUUGACCUGUGUGGCACAGUUGGUUGGGCACCCUCCCACAAAGUAGAAGGUCGCUGGUUCAGUUCCUGGUCAGGACAUGUUCCUUGGUUGCAGGUUUGGUCCCCAGUUGGGACACAUGCAAGGGGCAGCUGAUCAAUGUGUUUCUCUUACAUGGGUGUUUCUCCUUCUCUUUUUCUCCCUGCUUUUCCUUUUCUCUAAAAAUUAACAAAAAUGUAAAAAGUUAAAAACUAAAAAAGGAAAAAAACAAUAAAAAGAUGUUUGUCCCUUUUAGUCAGGAAUAUGUGUUUUCCAUAAAAGAGUAAUGUAUUUCUCAUGACAGUACCUAAUUGACUUACAGGUCUUUUUUUUUUAUUAUUUUGAGAGGACAUUUAUUAAAGUUGGUGACAGUGAAACAAGGAAGGUCUUAGGAUAGAAGAAACAACAGGAGAGAGCCUAGGCAGGGUCCUUUGGCUCCCCGGAAUGUCAUAGAAAAGGGGCCUUGGGUCCUGGCCUGGUAGUUCAGUAGGUUAGGGUGACAUCUGGAUACACUAAGGUUGCAGGUUUGAUCCCUGAGCACAUACAAGAAUAAGCUAUUGAAUGCAUAAAUAAGUGGAACAACACAUUGAUGUUUCUCGCCCUCUCCCCCUUCUUUUUAUGAAUCAGUUAAAAAGGGGAGGGGCCUUGGAAACAGGUUCAAGGGUCAUGAGCUACCUGAGAUGAGCUGCUGCUGCCCUUUGCUCCCCCAGUUGCACAUCUCCUGGGGACCCUUAGAGUUUAGGAGAUGGGCGCCUGAGAGAGAAGAAAGGUGUGGGCAUGCACUGGGUAGGGAGAAUGGCACCUGCAGAUGUUUAUUGAAUGAUUACCAAUGUGUCAGUUACUGUUUGGUGCUAGGAUAGUGGUGAAUGACACAGAUGAGCUGGUUUGCUUUCUUGUUUGCUCCCAAACAAGAAAGCAAAGUUUGUUUUGACAACAAACAUGUAAACCAAUAAAUAAUCAAGCUCAUUACAGAUUAUGAUAAAUUCUCUAAAAGAAAUAAAAAGAAUAAGGAGAGGAUAGGGUUUAUAUAAAAGAGUCAGGGUGGGGCCCUCUGUAGGGUGACAUUUAAGCUGAGAUCUGAAGGAUUAUGAGAUCAGACGUGUGAAGAACAAUGGAAAGAGCAUUCUGGGGAGUCCGUGCUCUUCCAAAGACCAAGAGCUGGGAAGGAGCUAUGUAUGUUCAAGGAACAGAAAAAAGAAGACUUGACUGGGGUGGUGAAUACCCAAUACAGUGUACAGAUGAUGUGUUGUGGAAUUGUGCACCUGAGAAGACCUGUAUAAUUUUGUUAACCAGUGUAUAAGUUCAAUAAGAAGAAAAAAGAAAGAAGGUCAAUGUGUUUGGGCUGAGGCCAGUGAGGGGGAAGUGUGCUGGGGCUGGAGAAAUGGCUAGUAGCCACAUUGUGUCACAUCUUGUGAGUAGGUCAUUUGGAAUUUAUUUGAGAAGUCAUGGGAGAGUUUUAAAACGUAAGAGCAAGAUGGCGUCUGAAGUUUAGAGAAUAGAUUUUGGGAAGACAACAGCGAAAUCAGGAAGACUCAUUAGGAUGCAUUUUUCAUGGUCCAGGCAAGAAAUAAUGGUGGUUUGGGCUAGGGUGGUGUCAGGAGAGACGGAGAGACGUGGAUGGAUUUGAAGUAUGUUUUGUAGUACUUACAAGUCAGUUGGAUGUGAAGGUUCAGGGAAGGAAGCAAUCAAGGGUGAUGUCCAGGUUUUUGCAGCUAGGUGGAUGGUAUAUGAUUUACUUAGGAGGAAAUGGAUAUAAAAGGUAUUGGGACAAGUCAAGGGUUUUUAGAUACAUUAAAUGUGAAAUGUAAAAUUAAGGGGAGAAAUCGGGGCAGGGGAUAUACUUUGAAAAGUGGUAGAGCAUGUAGGUAAGUACCUUGUGUCUUAAGAAUGGAUUCCAUCUCAGCAGAGAGUGUAGAUGGAGAAGGAGAAGGCUCAAGCAGUGCCCUAAGUGUUCUAGCUUGUGGAGGUGGAGCGCAGGAGAAAUUACAGCAGUGGAGGCAGAGUCAUGUCUAUCGCUGUUGAGAGUGAGGCAAAUUUAGAGAAUAACCCAAGAAGACAUUAGUGAUCUUGACGAGAGCAGUUUCCGAGGAGUGAUGGAGGCAACAGCCUAUUAGAGUGGGAAAAAAGGGAAUAUAGACAGUUCCUUGGAAGUUUUCUUGUGAUACUCUGCUCGGGAAACUGAGAAAUGGAAUGGUGACCAGAGGGAAUGUGUAUCCAAAGACGGGCUGGUGGGGUGCCCCCUGUGUUGUCAGGGAUAAUGCCAGUCAACAGGAGUUGAUGCUGUAGCAGAGAGGGUUAACAAAGUCACUGAGUAGGCAGGUGAAGACAGGCUCUAGAGCACAUUCGAGGACUUUUGACAAGUGUGGGAUCCUUCCUUGUGGUGGAAAGAAAGAAGAUGCAUUUAGAGGCACCUGCUUGGUGCUUGCAAGAUUUUGGUGCCUCUCUCUGUUGGCUUUUCAGUGAGGCAUAAAAGGAGAUUAUCAGCUGAAGAAGGAGGGUCUGUGGUGAGAGAGCAGAAGGUUUGAAGGAUCGAUCCCAGAGAAGCUCAGAACCACCAAGAAAUGUGGUGUGCGCACUAGAAAUUUGUUGCCAACCAUUUAAAGUCCACCCCAGUUAGUGUGGUUAUACAUCUUUUCCCAACAGGUUAACUGACUAUAGUUUCUCUGUAAAAUGAGGAUGAUAACAAUAGCACCUACCUCACACAGUUGUGAGAAUUAAAAGAAUUAGUGUAAAGUUUUUAAAACAGUGCCUGACAUGUGCUAAUUACCCAAUAAGCCAUAGUUGUCACUGAUACUGGUUGAGUGCCAGCUUGGAGGAAAGUCUGGUUGGGGUGUCUUUAGUGGCUGCAGGAGUAUGCGUGUAGUGGUUGUCUAGAAUGUGAGGUGGGUGAGGAAUGGAUUGGAAAUAUAGUUUUGAUGAAGCUGAAUAUGGGAAUUGUGGUAGAAAUAGCAGAGUAAGUGAACUGGCUGGGAUGGAGAUUGUAGUCAAAGAUUGUGGUGGUGACGAGGCCCAGGACUCAGUUAUGGUGAGUGGCUGCUGUAGACUGAAGGACGUGGCUGUGGGUGCUAAGGAGGUUAAAGAAUGGGAAAGGCCAGGAUGUUGGACAAAUGCAUCAUUCUUUCAUUGAGUCAGUCAUUCAAUAUUUAUUUUUUUAGUACAUUUUAUGUGCCAGACUGUGUUUUAGUGCCAGGGGUUAGUCAAAAACAACAAAAGUCCCCAUCUUCGUGAAGUUUAUAUUCUAGUGCGGGAAAGAGGCACUUUUUUAAAAAGGUG